rnacentral:rRNA from 1 species
UACGUAGGGGACGAGCGUUGUCCGGAAUUAUUGGGCGUAAAGAGCGCGUAGGCGGCUCUGCAAGUCCUGCGUGAAAUCUCGAGGCUCAACCUCGAGCGGUCGUGGGAAACUGGUGGGCUAGAGUGCGGGAGAGGGAAGUGGAAUUCCAGGUGUAGCGGUGAAAUGCGCAGAUAUCAGGAGGAACACCGGUGGCGAAGGCGGGUCUCUGGGCAACAACUGACGCUGAGGAGCGAAAGCGUGGGGAGCGAACAGG